rnacentral:rRNA from 1 species
GAGUUUGAUCUUGGCUCAGAUUGAACGCUGGCGGCAUGCCUUACACAUGCAAGUCGAACGGCAGCACGGGAGCUUGCUCCUGGUGGCGAGUGGCGAACGGGUGAGUAAUGCAUCGGAACGUAUCCUGGAGUGGGGGAUAACGUAGCGAAAGUUACGCUAAUACCGCAUAUUCUGUGAGCAGGAAAGCGGGGGACCUUCGGGCCUCGCGCUCUUGGAGCGGCCGAUGUCGGAUUAGCUAGUUGGUGAGGUAAAGGCUCACCAAGGCGACGAUCCGUAGCAGGUCUGAGAGGAUGAUCUGCCACACUGGAACUGAGACACGGUCCAGACUCCUACGGAGGCAGCAGUGGGGAAUUUUGGACAAUGGGGGCAACCCUGAUCCAGCCAUGCCGCGUGAGUGAAGAAGGCC